AAGUACUCUGACAAGCAAAAACAUGUUCUGACUGGAUCCAAGAAUUAGUUAAAAGUGUUGAAAAAAUACAAAAUCAAAUAGGAGCAAAACAAAAUGCCAUACGCCGAGUACCGGCCCAGCAGUGGAAACAUGGUUCGAUGCCAGGCAUGGCACCGAUCUUGUCAUUGUAAAUACUAGCAAUCACAUUUAUCAUCCGAUUUCGGUGGGUGGAUUAGAAGGCGGACGGAAAAUGUCAUGAACCCGGCGGGCUAUGCCGGAAAAUGGAGGGCAAGUAACCGGUGAGCGAUCGUGGAAGCAAUCCUCCUUGCAGAAGAGAAUGAAACGUCAAGUAAUAAAA